AAAUCAUCAAUUCCCGUUCGAUCACCAAAGUUAAGCAACUUAUAGCCUUGUCAGUACCUAGAUGGGUGACCAUUUGGGAAUAUCAGAUGCUGUAAG